rnacentral:rRNA from 1 species
GACGAACGCUGGCGGCGUGCCUAAUACAUGCAAGUCGAACGAACUCUGGUAUUGAUUGGUGCUUGCAUCAUGAUUUACAUUUGAGUGAGUGGCGAACUGGUGAGUAACACGUGGGAAACCUGCCCAGAAGCGGGGGAUAACACCUGGAAACAGAUGCUAAUACCGCAUAACAACUUGGACCGCAUGGUCCGAGUUUGAAAGAUGGCUUCGGCUAUCACUUUUGGAUGGUCCCGCGGCGUAUUAGCUAGAUGGCGAGGUAACGGCUCACCAUGGCAAUGAUACGUAGCCGACCUGAGAGGGAAAUCGGCCACAUUGGGACUGAGACACGGCCCAAACUCCUACGGGAGGCAGCAGUAGGGAAUCUUCCACAAUGGACGAAAGUCUGAUGGAGCAACGCCGCGUGAGUGAAGAAGGGUUUCGGCUCGUAAAACUCUGUUGUUAAAGAAGAACAUAUCUGAGAGUAACUGUUCAGGUAUUGACGGUAUUUAACCAGAAAGCCACGGCUAACUACGUGCCAGCAGCCGCGGUAAUACGUAGGUGGCAAGCGUUGUCCGGAUUUAUUGGGCGUAAAGCGAGCGCAGGCGGUUUUUUAAGUCUGAUGUGAAAGCCUUCGGCUCAACCGAAGAAGUGCAUCGGAAACUGGGAAACUUGAGUGCAGAAGAGGACAGUGGAACUCCAUGUGUAGCGGUGAAAUGCGUAGAUAUAUGGAAGAACACCAGUGGCGAAGGCGGCUGUCUGGUCUGUAACUGACGCUGAGGCUCGAAAGUAUGGGUAGCAAACAGGAUUAGAUACCCUGGUAGUCCAUACCGUAAACGAUGAAUGCUAAGUGUUGGAGGGUUUCCGCCCUUCAGUGCUGCAGCUAACGCAUUAAGCAUUCCGCCUGGGGAGUACGGCCGCAAGGCUGAAACUCAAAGGAAUUGACGGGGGCCCGCACAAGCGGUGGAGCAUGUGGUUUAAUUCGAAGCUACGCGAAGAACCUUACCAGGUCUUGACAUACUAUGCAAAUCUAAGAGAUUAGACGUUCCCUUCGGGGACAUGGAUACAGGUGGUGCAUGGUUGUCGUCAGCUCGUGUCGUGAGAUGUUGGGUUAAGUCCCGCAACGAGCGCAACCCUUAUUAUCAGUUGCCAGCAUUAAGUUGGGCACUCUGGUGAGACUGCCGGUGACAAACCGGAGGAAGGUGGGGAUGACGUCAAAUCAUCAUGCCCCUUAUGACCUGGGCUACACACGUGCUACAAUGGAUGGUACAACGAGUUGCGAACUCGCGAGAGUAAGCUAAUCUCUUAAAGCCAUUCUCAGUUCGGAUUGUAGGCUGCAACUCGCCUACAUGAAGUCGGAAUCGCUAGUAAUCGCGGAUCAGCAUGCCGCGGUGAAUACGUUCCCGGGCCUUGUACACACCGCCCGUCACACCAUGAGAGUUUGUAACACCCAAAGUCGGUGGGGUAACCUUUUAGGAACCAGCCGCCUAAGGUGGGACAGAUGAUUAGGGUG